rnacentral:rRNA from 1 species
GAUGAACGCUGGCUGCGUGCUUAGCACAUGCAAGUCGAACGGAAAGGCCCAAGCUUGCUUGGGUACUCGAGUGGCGAACGGGUGAGUAACACGUGGGUGAUCUGCCCUGCACUUCGGGAUAAGCCUGGGAAACUGGGUCUAAUACCGGAUAGGACCACUUCUUGGAUGUUGUGGUGGAAAGUUUUUUCGGUGUGGGAUGAGCUCGCGGCCUAUCAGCUUGUUGGUGGGGUAAUGGCCUACCAAGGCGUCGACGGGUAGCCGGCCUGAGAGGGUGUACGGCCACAUUGGGACUGAGAUACGGCCCAGACUCCUACGGGAGGCAGCAGUGGGGAAUAUUGCACAAUGGGCGCAAGCCUGAUGCAGCGACGCCGCGUGGGGGAUGACGGCCUUCGGGUUGUAAACUCCUUUCGCUAGGGACGAAGCGUUUUGUGACGGUACCUGGAGAAGAAGCACCGGCUAACUACGUG